rnacentral:rRNA from 1 species
UACGAACCGUGCGAACGUUGUUCGGAAUCACUGGGCUUAAAGGGCGCGUAGGCGGCCUGGCGCGUCCGGGGUGAAAGCCUCCAGCUCAACUGGAGAAGUGCCCCGGAUACGGCCAGGCUCGAGGGGGGUAGGGGCGUGCGGAACUUCCGGUGGAGCGGUGAAAUGCGUAGAUAUCGGAAGGAACGCCGGUGGCGAAAGCGGCGCGCUGGACCCCUUCUGACGCUGAGGCGCGAAAGCCAGGGGAGCGAACGGG